rnacentral:lncRNA from 1 species
AUCAAGAAUGUCACUUCACAAUGCAUCACUAAAACUAGCAACAGAUUUGCGCAAAUGAAAAACAGACAGCAGCUAGCACAGAAUAAAGUGAGAUUUUCUCAAAAGAGUACUACCGCAAAGGCAAAGGGCCGUGUAGCGUUUGAACCGGAAAGGACCACAGGCAGACCGGUGAGUAGUGAGCUAUAUACAGUAUAUAUAAGGCUGUGCAGCAGCUCCUGUUUUUAACCUGAAACGAUGGUCUGUAAGCUGUAACGUUCCAAUUCCAAAGCUCUCAGCUUUGAAGCUGCCGCAGGACUGGUCAACACAGAGCCACUCUUCUCUUCUGCCUUGUGCCUUGGCGAGGACGAAGCCGGGUUAAAGGUGGGAUGGCGUUCUUGUUUGGAGCCUAGCUUCUGGUCUGUUUUGCAAGGGAGAUUAGCUAGCUUCAAUCAGGCUGUCUGUGCACUAACAUUCUCUAAGAUGCUACCCGGCCACUCAUAUUCCUUGGACAGGCUGGAGAAAGAGUUUUUUUUUUCUUUCCUUCCUUGUUUUUUUGGAUGUCAGUAUCUUCCUUCUGUUUGGUAAUAACAUCACAAGCUAAUACUGUAUAUAGUACUGGUAGAAGUAGACACUAGACAAGAUACCACAUCUGUCAACUUAAAAUUUAAGCUCUGCCUGUUGACCAAACAAAAAACUGAAAUUAGACUAUAUAUCUGAAGAAUUUUAUUUCAUUACAGCAUUACAGGGAUGUUGCAUGUUGACCCACUGCUGCUGAAAGAUGCCAACUACGUACAGUAGAGUACUACCCUUUUGCUUUACCGGACAGCGACUACAGUCUCUAGCUAGUCUUUGUGCCUUUGUGUACAUGCAUGCUCUAGCUCUAGCUUCCCUGAAGUUAGAUAGAUAGAAUAGAUGUGCUGAAGGUCCUGAGAUUUUUCCUGGAAAGUCAUUGAGAUAAGAUAAGCCUCUUUGUCUUUGGGCAUGCAUGCAUGCAUCCAAGCGCAAGGCAGAUCUGCUGCUAAUACGAUGAUGCGUUCGCCGCUUUCCGUGGCAAAACGCAACGACUUUAGCCGACCCUUUCUUCUCCUGUUCUCCAGCACCUUACAUCUGAGGAAAAAAAAGCUCGGUUGUCUUGCUCAUUACUCCCGUCACUUUCACC